rnacentral:rRNA from 1 species
AGUGGCGGACGGGUGAGUAACACGUGAUCAACGUACCCUCAGGACUGGGAUAACCACUCGAAAGGGUGGAUAAUACCAGAUACUACCACCGCAUCGCAUGGUGUAUGGUGAAAGAACUUCGCCUGGGGAGCGGAUCGCGGCUAUCAGCUUGUUGGUGGGGUAACGCUACCAAGGCGACACGGUACCGGCCUGAAGGUGGGCGGCACACUGGACUGAACACGCCAACUCCUACGAGCAGCAGUGCUGAAUCAUUCACAAUGGGCAAGCCUGAUGAUGUGACCCGCGUGGAGGAUGAAGCCCUCGGGUUGUAAACUCCUGUCAGGGAUUAGGAAUAAUGACCAAUCCCAGAGGAAGCACCGGCUAAAUUCGUGCCAGCAGCCGCGGUAACACGAAUGGUGCAAGCGCUGUUCGGAAUCACUGGGCAUAAAGGGUGCGUAGGCGGCGCGGCAAGUCGGCUGUGAAAGCCCCCGGCUCAACCGGGGAAUUGCAACCGAUACUGCCGUGCUUGAGGGCGCGAGGGGUGAGCGGAAUUCCAGGUGUAGCGGUGAAAUGCGUAGAUAUCUGGGAGAACGCCGGAGGCGAAGGCGGCUCACUGGCGCGUACCUGACGCUGAGGCACGAAAGCGUGGGGAGCAAACAGGAUUAGAUACCCUGGCUAGUCCACGCAGUAAACGAUGGGUACUAGGUAGAGGGGGACACCGAUCCACUCUCUGCCGGAGCAAAUGCGUUAAGUAAACCCCC